UAGAGGUUGUGCAUUCUCUUCUACACCCUA
rnacentral:piRNA from 1 species